CGCUCUUCUCUCAAUCUGAUUUAUUUUCUAUGCAUCCAUAGGUAGAGACCCUUUCUAUUUAUAGAUGAUUCUCAUGACCUAAUGAGAGUAGGACUCCUAACUCAAAUCUGAUUUGAAUCAGUCCAAUACUCAUGAAAGAAAAAUUCUUACAUGAGAUAGAAUUGUCAUCAUUUAUGAUAUCCACUUUGCACCCACUCCCACACCCACUUAGGACACCCCAAACCAACAUCAAAUCAGGUGUUGGUCAUUCUCUAUGAGAGGAGAAUCCCAGUACAAGUGAGAAUACUCAUAUCUCAUCAAAAUAGAUCUGAUUCAAAUCUAAUUCGAAGCUGGUUCGAAAUAAGUUUGAAAGGCUGUCAAUCCCAAACUCUUUAAGACUUUUGUACCAAGUCUUUCUUAAAUUUUGGAUCCAAUUAAAAUUAAUUAAUUUAGAUCUAAUCUAAAAUUAAUCAUCAUUUAAAUCUAAUCUUUCAUAUGCUCCAUGGAUCAUAGAUCAGAAACUGUUCAUCCUCGAGAUCGAACCUGAACCUCAUAUGUAGUGCUCGCUAGACAUAUUCAACUCUUCAAUCAUGUUUGAUCUAUUACUUAAUUCUCAAUCAAGUUAGCUUAUAUGUUCAAUCAAGUCAAGUACUUUCAAAUUGAACAUAUAAACAUAGGUCAAUUCCUUCUUACUUUGUCUGACUUGUGUGCGUGACACCAUAGAUUCAAACACUAAGCCGGUAGCACAGGAACCAAUUCCUGCACUAAUCGAGAUACCAUCUAGCAAUAUUUUUCAAUAUCCAAAUAGAUCAAAUUAUCAUAAGAAAAUAUUUC
rnacentral:lncRNA from 1 species